rnacentral:rRNA from 1 species
CCUACGGGUGGCAGCAGUGAGGAAUAUUGGUCAAUGGGCGGGAGCCUGAACCAGCCAAGUCGCGUGAGGGAAGACGGUCCUAUGGAUUGUAAACCUCUUUAGUCAGGGAGCAAUGCAGGGCACGCGUGCGCGGAGGGAGAGUACCCGCAGAAAAAGCAUCGGCUAACUCCGUGCCAGCAGCCGCGGUAAUACGGAGGAUGCGAGCGUUAGCCGGAUUUAUUGGGUGUAACGGGUGCGUAGGCGGAUUUUUAAGUCAGCGGUAAAAGGUCCGGGCUAAACCCGGGCCUGCCGUUGAAAAUGGGGAUGUUGAGUGGGCGAGAAGUAUGCGGAAUGCGUGGUGUAGCGGUGAAAUGCAUAGAUAUCACGCAGAACUCCAAUUGCGAAGGCAGCAUACCGGCGCCCGACUGACGCUGAGGCACGAAAGCGUGGGGAUCGAACAGGAUUAGAUACCCUUGUAGUC